UACGUAGGAUGCAAGCGUUGUUCGGAAUUACUGGGCGUAAAGAGUACGUAGGCGGUUUGAUAAGUCUGCUAUUAAAGCCUGGAGCUUAACUCCAGGACUGUAGUGGAAACUGUCAGACUAGAGGAUAAUAGAGGAAGUCGGAAUUCUCAGUGUAGCGGUGAAAUGCGUAGAUAUUGGGAAGAACACCAGUGGCGAAAGCGGACUUCUGGGUUGUUACUGACGCUGAGGUACGAAAGCGUGGGGAGCAAACGGG
rnacentral:rRNA from 1 species